CCUACGGGUGGCUGCAGUGGGGAAUAUUGGACAAUGGGCGAAAGCCUGAUCCAGCCAUGCCGCGUGUGUGAAGAAGGCCUUCGGGUUGUAAAGCACUUUCAGUGGGGAAGAAAGCCUUGGGGCUAAUACCCUCGAGGAAGGACAUCACCCACAGAAGAAGCACCGGCUAACUCCGUGCCAGCAGCCGCAGUAAUACGGAGGGUGCGAGCGUUAAUCGGAAUUACUGGGCGUAAAGCGCGCGUAGGCGGUCUGAUAAGCCGGUUGUGAAAGCCCCGGGCUCAACCUGGGAACGGCAUCCGGAACUGUCAGGCUAGAGUGCAGGAGAGGAAGGUAGAAUUCCCGGUGUAGCGGUGAAAUGCGUAGAGAUCGGGAGGAAUACCAGUGGCGAAGGCAGUCUUCUGGACUGACACUGACGCUGAGGUGCGAAAGCGUGGGUAGCAAACAGGAUUAGAUACCCCAGUAGUC
rnacentral:rRNA from 1 species